AGCGAACGUUUGCGGCGGGCCUAACACAUGCAAGUCGAACGCACUAGCAAUAGUGAGUGGCGCACGGGUGCGUAACACGUGGGUAAUCAACCCUUCAGCCUGGGAUAACGACUCGAAAGGGUCGCUAAUACCGGAUACGGCGCGAGAGGCUUCGGCUUCUCACGAGAAAGCCACGCAAGGGGGCACUGAAGGACGAGCCUGCGGCCCAUCAGCUAGUUGGUGAGGUAAGAGCUCACCAAGGCUAAGACGGGUAGCUGGUCUGAGAGGAUGAUCAGCCACACUGGAACUGAGACACGGUCCAGACUCCUACGGGAGGCAGCAGUGGGGAAUAUUGCGCAAUGGGCGAAAGCCUGACGCAGCCACGCCGCGUGAGCGAUG
rnacentral:rRNA from 1 species